rnacentral:rRNA from 1 species
AUUGAACGCUGGCGGCAGGCCUAACACAUGCAAGUCGAACGAGUGGCGGACGGGUGAGUAAUGUCUGGGAAACUGCCCGAUGGAGGGGGAUAACUACUGGAAACGGUAGCUAAUACCGCAUACCAUCGGAUUUGCCCAGAUGGGAUUAGCUUGUAGGUGAGGUAACGGCUCACCUAGGCGACGAUCCCUAGCUGGUCGGAGAGGAUGACCAGCAACACUGGAAAUGAGUCAGUGUCAAGAAUGUGACGGGAGGCAGCAUGGGUGAAUAUUGCACGAUGGGCGCAAGCAUGAUGCGGACAGGCCGCGUGUAUGAAGAAGGCCUUAGGGUUGUAAAUUACUUUCAGCGGGGAGGCGUUACCCGCAGAAGAAGUACCGGCUAACUCCGUGCCAGCAGCCGCGGUAAUGC